GAAGUAAGCAGUCAAUACCUUUAGGACAUCAAGGUGAACCAUAAUUGGGACACAGAAGUUUCUGGAAGAGGUAGACAUGAUGUCUGGAGCUACAGCAGUGCAUUUGAAACCAAGAGGAAACCAGCCUGAGAAUGAAGAGCCAACCUGACAAAGACAAGGAAAAGCCUGCAUGCCUGAUGGCAUUGUCCAGCAACGGAAGCAAGACCAGCAAUUUGUGACUGCUGGGCUUCUCAGCAUAUGGGACACACGAGACCCUCUGCUCCUAGCAGCAGAUACAGAUCAACCUCACACACAGGGUAUUCCUUUGUUUAACAUGGUAAGUGCUGUGUGGCAGUGUACCUGGGGACCAAACGCACUUCCGAACCUCAGCUGAGUCUAUUCAUUUAGAGAAAGGGUGGGAAGAACCACGAACUUAAAGGCUGAUAAUUCUCAUCUUGAGAGAAUUCUGGAAUCAAUAGGUCUAACAUGUUUAGUUUCUGACUUAAAAUGCACUAAGGCAGCGGGGUGUGAUGGCUCACGCCUAUAAUCCCAGGACUUUGGGAGGCCGAGAUGGGUGAAUCACCUGAGGUCAGGAGUUUGUGACCAGCCUGGCUAACGUGGUGAAACCCUGUCUCUACUAAAAAUACAAAAAUUAGCCAGGCAUGGUGGUGGGCACCUGUAAUCCCAGCUACUUGGGAGGCCGAGGCAGGAGAAUUGCUUGAACCUGGGAGGCAGAGUUUGCAGUGAGCCGAGAUCACACCACUGCACUCCAGCCUGGGCGACAUAGAGAGACUCCGUCUCAAAAAAAAAACACAACAAA
rnacentral:lncRNA from 1 species